UACGGAGGGUGCAAGCGUUAUCCGGAUUCACUGGGUUUAAAGGGUGCGUAGGCGGGUUGGUAAGUCCGUGGUGAAAUCUCCAAGCUUAACUUGGAACUGCCGUGGAUACUAUCAAUCUUGAAUAUAGUGGAGGUGAGCGGAAUAUGUCAUGUAGCGGUGAAAUGCUUAGAUAUGACAUAGAACACCAUUGCGAAGGCAGCUCGCUACACUAUUAUUGACGCUGAGCACGAAGCGUGGGAUCAACAGG
rnacentral:rRNA from 1 species